AGUGAACGCUGGCGGUAGGCCUAACACAUGCAAGUCGAACGGCAGCACAGUAAGAGCUCGCUCUUACGGGUGGCGAGUGGCGGACGGGUGAGGCAUACAUCGGAAUCUACUUUUUCGUGGGGGAUAACGUAGGGAAACUUACGCUAAUACCGCAUACGACCUACGGGUGAAAGCAGGGGAUCUUCGGACCUUGCGCGAUUGAAUGAGCCGAUGUCGGAUUAGCUAGUUGGCGGGGUAAAGGCCCACCAAGGCGACGAUCCGUAGCUGGUCUGAGAGGAUGAUCAGCCACACUGGAACUGAGACACGGUCCAGACUCCUACGGGAGGCAGCAGUGGGGAAUAUUGGACAAUGGGCGAAAGCCUGAUCCAGCCAUGCCGCGUGGGUGAAGAAGGCCUUCGGGUUGUAAAGCCCUUUUGUUGGGAAAGAAAAGCAGCAGGUUAAUACCCCGCUGUUCUGACGGUACCCAAAGAAUAAGCACCGGCUAACUUCGUG
rnacentral:rRNA from 1 species